AGGUAGGGGUGGAGAAGGGGGAGGUAGGGGUGGAGAAGGGCCUGGGCUGGGAAGGACCUACAUGUAGGCUGUCUGAAGCUUAAACUUAUACUGACCUGAUUUGGGGAUGUGUGAAAUGUAAAUAGAGCUGUCAUUUGACAUAUUUAUUUGUAUGUCCUUUGUAUGACCAGUGUGCCAGGAUCCUCCAGUAUGUUCUUGGUCUGUGUGUGGGGUGAGGCAGAGAGUCAGGUUCCUCCAGUAUGUUCUUGGUCUGUGUGUGGGGUGAGGCAGAGAGUCAGGUUCCUCCAGUAUGUUCUUGGUCUGUGUGUGGGGUGAGGCAGAGAGUCAGGUUCCUCCAGUAUGUUCUUGGUCUGUGUGUGGGGUGAGGCAGAGAGUCAGGUUCCUCCAGUAUGUUCUUGGUCCGUGUGUGGGGUGAGGCAGAGAGUCAGGUUCCUCCAGUAUGUUCUUGGUCUGUGUGUGGGGUGAGGCAGAGAGUCAGGUUCCUCCAGUAUGUUCUUGGUCUGUGUGUGGGGUGAGGCAGAGAGUCAGGUUCCUCCAGUAUGUUCUUGGUCUGUGUGUGGGGUGAGGCAGAGAGUCAGGAGGUAUCUAAGCUGUCCUCUCAGGCAUGAGAGAGUUGUUUGGACUGGCUAACUUAGAGGCACUCAUCCUUCCUGCCUCCGUCUUGGU